UUCUGAUUGCUCUCUAUCAAAAUACUGUUUUGUGCUCCCUUCAAACCCCUUUCUCUGCAAGCCAAACAACCCCUUUCUCUGCAAGCCAAACAACAAAUCCCACUCUCACAAAAAUCCUUCCUUCUCUUUCUCUCUCGACAAUCCCUCCCUCGAUUCUUGCUUUUCUGCGAUCCUGUCCCCUCCUCUCUCCCUCAAAUGCCCUUCCAUUGCCGCUUUAUUGCCCUUUUCUCCAUUGCACCAUGAGCUGUACGAUUGAAUUCCUAAUUCAGUCAUACUCUCAGAGCCUUUCUUUGCUCAAUCCUGCUACAAUUUCUGGCUCUUCUCCUAUUGCUAGACACUGAGAAAUGAAGGUGAUUUUGUUGCCGCAUCUAGCAAGAGUUUGAAACAUUUGACGACCUGAUUCCAGGUUCUCCUAUACUCAGGAAAUCAAGGCUCUUCUCCUAUUGCUAGACUCUGGGAAAUCAAGAUGAUUUUGUUGCCGCAUCUAACAAGAGUUUUGAAACGUUUGAUGACCUGAUUCCAGGUUCUCCUCAAAUUGCUAUACUCAGGAAUUCAAGGUGAUUUUGUUGCUACAUCUAGCAACAGUUUGAAAUAUUUGACUAUACAAGCAACUCUUUAUUUGUUCUAGGAGUUCUUGAUGGAGCUCAAGGUUUCAUCACUAAAGUCAGGAGGUCUUUCUCCUCCUGAUUGCUCUAGUGAUCCUGAGGAGAAGGAAGUCAGUGAUGAGGAUGAUGAUGAUCGCAAUCAUAAACAUCGAAGAAGAGAGACACGUUCUCAAUCUUUGGAGAGAGGUUCACUGGAACCUGUUUUUACAAGGUCAUACAGGAAGCACUACAAACCAUUUGAAAAUGGGCAUCCUUUCAGGGAGAAUGAAUCUCAAGGGAGUGAAACCUGGAAAAACUAUAACGCUGUUCCUCUGGAUAAAGACUUCACCUCAAAAUUUGAAAAGAGACGGCCUGGAAUGGCAUCAUUACCCCGAGUGGGUAUGGAUUUGAAUCAAAGAAUAAGGUCAAACCAAACAUUUUCCGGAGAGCAUGGUCCUGGUAGAGGAAGAGGAAGGGACCCUGGUUCUUGGAACCAGCGUGAUUCUAGGUUCAGCUCAGUUGAUAUUGCUUCUCAAAU
rnacentral:misc_RNA from 1 species